GAUGAACGCUGGCGGCGUGCCUAAUACAUGCCAGUCGAGCGAACGGACGAGAAGCUUGCUUCUCUGAUGUUAGCGGCGGACGGGUGAGUAACACGUGGAUAACCUACCUAUAAGACUGGGAUACUUCGGGAAACCGGAGCUAAUACCGGAUAAUAUUUUGAACCGCAUGGUUCAAAAGUGAAAGACGGUCUUGCUGUCACUUAUAGAUGGAUCCGCGCUGCAUUAGCUAGUUGGUAAGGUAACGGCUUACCAAGGCAACGAUGCAUAGCCGACCUGAGAGGGUGAUCGGCCACACUGGAACUGAGACACGGUCCAGACUCCUACGGGAGGCAGCAGUAGGGAAUCUUCCGCAAUGGGCGAAAGCCUGACGGAGCAACGCCGCGUGAGUGAUGAAGGUCUUCGGAUCGUAAAACUCUGUUAUUAGGGAAGAACAUAUGUGUAAGUAACUGUGCACAUCUUGACGGUACCUAAUCAGAAAGCCACGGCUAACUACGUG
rnacentral:rRNA from 1 species